UAACAAUUACUUCUUUUCACAAAAAAUGCUAUAAAAUGUAUCAUUAAUUCUUUCAUUAUUAGUGGGAACUGAAUUUUUAUUCGAUUGAAAAGAUAUUGACUCUUAUCUGAUUAAUAAGAUUGCAUGAGUUUAAUUUCAGUAACAAUCAAAUGCGAAUUAUCAGUGUUACAUUGAUGUGAGAAUAGAGAACCCAACUUCCUAAAAAAUCUGAAAGACCUUGGGAUGGGAAAACAAAGCGAACAGGAGAACUAAGAUGACAUACUGAUACAGAAGUGAGAGCAGUAGUACGAGAGGUCAAAGCUGAUCCAGAUGCAAGUGUUGUUAAAAAUCCCAAAGCAUCUCGCAAUAAUCAGCGAAGACAAUAAUUCCAAGAACAAUAAUGAAGACUCUUCAUAAACAUGUGUUACAUGACAGAACUCCAAGUAAGAAAUCAUUCAUCGCGAAAUCGAACCAGAAAAAAAAGUGUCCGCUGUUUGACAAAAAGAACCUUAAUGAGAAUUUAAAAUUUUGGAAUAUUUUAUUUAGUGAUGAGAAAAAAAAAAGUGAAUUGUUUGGCGCAUAGAAGCUUGCAAAAAUAUGGAGACCAAAGAAAGAAGAAUCCAUUAGUAAGUAUUCAGCUAAGACAAUUAAACACGGCUCUGUUAUGAUCUAGGGAUGAAUGGCGACAGCAGUAGUCGAUAAUUUAGUAUUUGUCGAAUCAACAAUGAACAAAAUGGAAUACCUAAAUAUUUUAAGAGACAAUGUUGACCCUAGUAUUGCGAAUUUGGGAUUGUCACGAAACUGGAUCUUUCAACAUCAUAAUGAUCCCAGACACGCAUCAAAGAUUAUGAAAGAAUGAUUACUCUAUCUUAUUGCAAAGACUUUGGGCUUUCCUCUACAGUCACCAGAUAUAAAGCCCUUUGAAAAUUGGUCUCAUCUAUGCCUCGAAAUAAUUGGUCGUAUCUAUGCCUAGACGAUUAAAGGCAGUGAUAAAAACUAAAGGUGACAAAAGCAGAUAAAAUAUUAAUAUUGCAGCUUUCUUUGUUCUCUGUUUAUUAAUUUUUUUUACUAAUGAAAUUUGAUGCUUUUCUAUUUUAGUUGAA